AAAAACUUAAUUUCUGGAUUUUCGUGUCUAACAUUUGACCGUCCGUCUUAUUUAAAAAAUUAUGAAAAAAUUUAAAAAGAUAAGUCAUGCAUAAAGUAUUAUUCAUGUUUUAUCAUCUAACAAUAAUGCAAAUAUUAAUCAUAAAACAAUUUCUAUAAAACGGACGGUCAAACGUUGCACACGAAAACCCAG
rnacentral:pre_miRNA from 1 species